rnacentral:rRNA from 1 species
UACAGAGGGUGCAAACGUUGCUCGGAAUCAUUGGGCGUAAAGCGCACGUAGGCGGUCUCGCAAGUCGGGUGUGAAAUCCCUCGGCUUAACCGAGGAAGUGCAUUCGAAACUACGGGACUCGAAUACUCAAGAGGAUCUCGGAAUUCCCGGUGUAGAGGUGAAAUUCGUAGAUAUCGGGAGGAACACCAGUGGCGAAGGCGGAGAUCUGGGGAGAUAUUGACGCUGAGGUGCGAAAGCGUGGGGAGCAAACAGG